rnacentral:lncRNA from 1 species
UUAUUUAUGUCAUUCACANGAGAUAGCAAUCAAGACGUCGUCCAUGUACCUGAAUUCAUACGCAAAAUUACUCCCUGACCCUUUCUCUAUUUCCCACAAUAAGCGGUUAUUAUUUCUCUUUUGACUUACUUCACCUUUUCUUAUGGGGUCGGCCAACAAAAAUCCCCAAAUCAAGUGGGUUCUAGACAAUCUAAACAUGCCGCUAUGGUAAUGGUGGAAUGGUUGGUCUAGUAAUGGCAAGUCGCUAGCUUCUGAAAGUCCAAUUAUUUAGUAGACUGUUUCACAUUCUUGGAAGGCAUACGCUUUGCUAGAGCCUAGAGCUCACAAUUUGGAAAUCUUGGUGAUGGAAUCAGACUCUGUAAAUGCUGUCAGAACCCUCAUAUCCAAGUGCGUGAUCCCGAUUGCUGCAUCGCCAAUCUGCUCCCACGUUUUCUCAGCCAUUGGACAAAUACCCUAUAGCUGGUGGGGGAGGACACAUAAAAACCCGGUCUCGAAAUCAUUGGAUUCGUUGAAGAAGCAGUGACAGGCUUACAAUCUCCAACUUCUGUCGUAACAGGCGGCAAAAUUGGUGGCUCCACCGCAAAUCUACCGGCAACUUUCUCAAUAAACCUAUGUAAAAAAGUGAGUUCAUCUUUAGGCUUUUCACUGGGUUUCAAGGUUUUUAAAGCAAAAUCCACGGGGAAUCGAUAAUGGGAAAGAGACAUUGGUGAAGUGCACGUGCCAUUAAAAAUGUUUCUUGAAUCUUUAGCAGCGGCCGACGGAGGUGGCAAUGGGAAGCAGCGGAAGUUUGUGAGUUGUUAAGCGAGGAAACCCACGGAGGAAGAAGAUGAAGUGCGGGUGGGCGUACGUAGCUUUUCUUUUUCUUUUUCUUUUUCAUUUUUGGUUAGUUAAUAAUUAUUUCAUUAAAAAUAUAAAUUUAUCAUUUUACCUUAAUAAUGGUAAAAAUAUGGUCCAACUCAACUUUCUGAUCAAGUAACGGAAUUCAUGCUGUAACGAAAUACAAGGUUUGGAUUUAUGUGUGACACAAAUAAAAUAUUUGGAUAAAUUCUGUAAAAUAGUAAAAGAUUGAGAUCGCAACUACAAUUAUCCCUAAGUUUUUCAACCAAUAUUCCUCAUCUUCUUCAAAAUAAAGGAGAAAUCUUGUACAUUGAGAUCUAGAUGGUAUUUCUAGAAUCACGUGCUAAUAUAA